rnacentral:rRNA from 1 species
UACGUAGGGCGCAAGCGUUAUCCGGAAUUAUUGGGCGUAAAGCGCGCGUAGGCGGCUACUUAAGUCGGAUGUGAAAGCCCCUGGCUCAACUGGGGAAGUGCACCCGAAACUGAGUGGCUUGAGUGCGAAAGAGGGUCGCGGAAUUCCCGGUGUAGAGGUGAGAUUCGUAGAUAUCGGGAGGAACACCGGUGGCGAAGGCGGCGACCUGGGUCGACACUGACGCUGAGGCGCGAAAGCGUGGGGAGCAAACAGG